UACGUAGGGUGCGAGCGUUAAUCGGAAUUACUGGGCGUAAAGCGUGCGCAGGCGGUUCGCUGUGUCCUGGGUGAAAGCCCCGGGCUUAACCUGGGAAUGGCAUGGGAAACUGGCGGGCUGGAGUGUGGCAGAGGGGGGUGGAAUUCCGCGUGUAGCAGUGAAAUGCGUAGAGAUGCGGAGGAACACCGAUGGCGAAGGCAGCCCCCUGGGCUAACACUGACGCUCAGGCACGAAAGCGUGGGGAGCAAACAGG
rnacentral:rRNA from 1 species